rnacentral:rRNA from 1 species
UACGAAGGGGGCUAGCGUUGCUCGGAAUCACUGGGCGUAAAGGGUGCGUAGGCGGGUCUUAAGUCAGGGGUGAAAUCCUGGAGCUCAACUCCAGAACUGCCUUUGAUACUGAAGAUCUUGAGUUCGGGAGAGGUGAGUGGAACUGCGAGUGUAGAGGUGAAAUUCGUAGAUAUUCGCAAGAACACCAGUGGCGAAGGCGGCUCACUGGCCCGAUACUGACGCUGAUGCACGAAAAGCGUGGGGAGCAAACAGG